rnacentral:rRNA from 1 species
AACGAACGCUGGCGGCGCGCCUAAUACAUGCAAGUCGAGCGAGAAGACGUAGCAAUACGUUUGUAAAGCGGCGAACGGGUGAGGAAUACAUGGGUAACCUACCCUCGAGUGGGGAUAACUAGCCGAAAGGUUAGCUAAUACCGCAUACGCUUCCCGGACUGCGGUUCGGGAAAGAAAGCGAUACCGUGGGUAUCGCGCUCUUGGAUGGGCUCAUGUCCUAUCAGCUUGUUGGUGAGGAAUGGCUCACCAAGGCUU